GCCUUGCCACCAACGGGCUACGAGCGGUUAAGAGACUACAGCUCCCAGGAUGUACGGUGAUGGCACCCGUUUGGACUCCGCCCCUCUGCGCGUCUAGAGCUGUUCUCCCGUGCGGAGGGGAUCCUGGCUGUUCCCAAAUCUCGCCUGCCUGCGAGGAGCCAGCGUGGCCCGGGCAGCUGAUCUCAACCUGUGAUUGUGACAUCACCCCUACCUGAGGAAGCCUCUUCCAGCCUGCUCAAGAUCCUCCUCUGUACCCCAAGAACACCCCAUUGGAUUUCCGGGCUGGCUGCUUGGCCUACACACCUGGGUCAGGCCUCUCGCAGGGAUGCGCCUGCCACUGUAAUAAAGAGGAGAAAACGUCACACGGGAAAGGCCUGACUCCUUCGUACAAUCAGAAUACUCAACUGCACAGAGAAGGGACCCCUUUAAGCCACUUUGGGAGCCACAUCCACCACUCUGUGACUCCCACACAGGCUGGUUCCCAGGUAUCAGGUGUCCUAGUGUUAACACGGGCCAAAAGGACAAAACAGGACCCUAGGUCCUUCCCAAAACAUUAGGAAAGUUUGUGUACUGAGGUAAUGUACAAUGUCUUUUUGCCCUGAAUAGGGCUCCCUUAAAAACUCUUUUAAUAAUCAUUUUUAAAUAUAUCUCUGGAACCACUUUUAGUAAUUUGCUGAAGGAACAUAAAAGUAAUUACCUUAAUUCAUGUUUUUCUUUUAGUUUUUCAGAUUAACUAAGUAAUUCAUAUUGUACAUUUCUGAAAUUGAAGUACGCACAGCUUCAAUUCUGUGCAGGGAGGAUGCAGCAGGAGAGAAUAUCCUGGGCACAUCUUUCUGGAGAAUCACUUUUACUACAAGAUUUGUAAGAAACAAAUUUAUUUCCAAGGUAAGAAAUUAAAACUCUAAAACAAGGCUAGAAAGUCAUCUGCCUUUAAUAACCCUUAGUCAUCUGUGCCUGAUAUGUGAGACUUUCUCCAAGAUAAAUCUCUCAAGGAUAACCUAUUUUCCAUCAUUAUAAUUAGUAAAAAUUAGAAAUUUUAGAAAGUCAAUUGGAAGCCCUGUCCUGCCAGUUUCUUAAAUCACAAUGUGGCCUUUGUACGAUUUUACUUGGAUUUUCUUUUUGGAAUCUGUUGACUGCUUGGAUAUAAAAUGUGGGGUUUUGACAAAUUUUUGCAAGUUUUCAGCUAUUGUUACUUUUGCACCCCAUUUAAUUUUUCUGUCCCUUCACUCUUUCUAGGACACAAUCUGCCCACAGAUUGUAAGACUCUGUUCAUUUUCUUCAAACUUUUUUUACUCUUUUUUUCAGAUUGAAUAAUUUCAAUUGUUCUGUCUUUUUCUAAUCUAUGAAUCAACCUAAAAGUACUAUUUAAAAUUUCAUUAUCUUUCUAUUUGGUUCUUUUUAAUAAUGUGCAUUUCUCUGCUGAGAUUCCACAUGUAUUCAUUCAUUAUGAGAAUUUUUUUUCUUCACCCCAUGACUAUAGUUUUAAUAGCUGCUCUCAAAUACUUGACUGCUGAUAACAACAUCUUGGACAUUUUGGGGAUAGCUUUUAAUGCCUAUGUUUUAUCUUGUGUAUGGAUAACAUUUUUGUGUUUCUUCUCAUGUCUCUUAAAUUUUAAAAUUGUAUUUUAAAAACUGUAAAUAAUACUUAUAGAGACUCUGGAUCCUGUUGUAUUCCUUUGAAGAGUGUUGUUAGUUUUUGAAGAGGGAGUUAAUUUGGCUGGAUUCAAAUUCAAAUGCCUGUCUCCCUUUCCGUGGGCACAGCUAAAAUUAUCAUUCGCUUCUUAUCCCCACAUAUAUCAUAUGUAUGAUAUAUAGAUGUGUGUUUCUAUAUAAUAUAUGACAUUGUAUCCAGAUUUUACCAUUAUUUGUAAGAGUAGUGUUCAACAAGCUACUCCACUAUUACUGAAAGCCAAAACCUCAAUUUUAUAUUCUUUUUGGAUUUUACAUAAAUGACAUUAUAUAGUAUGUAUACUUUUACAUAUACUUUCUUUUGUACAUCAUAUUUGUAAUAUUCAUCAAUCCUGCUGUAGAUAUGUAAGUACUGAGAUUACAGGCAUGAGCCAACGUGCUCAGCCUAAAAUAUUUUAGGAGGUUAAGGUGGGAGGAUCACUUGUGGCUGGGAAUUUUAGACCAGCCUGGGCAAUAGAGUGAGACCCUCUCUCUACAAAAAAAUUAAAAAUUAGCCAGGCACGGUGGCAUGUGUCUGCUAUUCCAGCUACUCAGAAGACUGAGGCAGAAAGAUCAGUUGAGCCCAUAAGUUCAAGGCUACAGGAAGCAAUGAUUGCACUCCUGCACUCCCAUCUGGGUAACAGAGCAAGACUCUGUCUCUUAAAAAAUAAUAUAAAAAUUUAAAAUAAUUUUAUACAUUAUGUUAAAAUACACAUAAAAUUAACUAUUUUAACCAUUUUAAAGGUUUCCAUUGAGAUGAAUUAAGUACACUCAUUAUUUUGCUACCAUCAUUUCCAUAUAUAAAAAGCAUAUUCCAUUUUUUGAAACUGAAACUGUACCCAUUAAACAACUCCUUAUUCUCCCUGUAGCCCCUGGGAAACACUCUCCUACUUGGUGUUUUCUAUGACUUUAACUACUCUUAAGUACCACAUAUGAGAAGAAUCAUAUAGUAAAGAAAUCAUGAGGAAGAAUGAUAAAAAAUGUAUCACAUGCUUAUUAAUUUUCAAUAAAAACACCAACAGAGAUCAGUAGUACCUGUUGAUUAUAAAUAAACAGAUAAAUGAGAAAAAGGAAUUGGCAGUGUGCAUUGUAUUUAUGACAAUGGGGCCUCAAGUACCAUAGCAGUGAGUCCUCUGCCCCAGGCACAGGGCUGGUCAGUGGUGGAGCUGGAAGCCCAGUGUAGCUGUCUGACACCCGGAUCCCAUGCCUAACCCAAAUGUCACUGAGCCCUAAGGCACUUCGCUCCUGCUGGUCCAGGCAGUGUCCCCUAAGAUUCAUCAUGGCAUGUUCUCCAUGGCCUUAAGGAGUUGCUGGCCUACUGGGAUAAGCGAUCCAGCUGGCAGGACAGGUUGUAGCUACAAGUCAUAGAGGCAGAUGUGAGGUCUCUAUGUAGGAGUCACACCCCUAGUCUCCUUCCCAGUGCCUGCCCAGCUGGAGUGCUGGGCCCCCGGGGUCACCAUGCAGCAGGGCCUGACACUGACCAGGGAGCCAUGGCCACAGGCUCUUGGCAGCUGGCCCAAAAUAAAUAUUCUCCAUAACCUCUGCCGAUCUGCUGGACCCUCACCUCUCAG
rnacentral:lncRNA from 10 species